GGCAUCUUGCUAUCGUAUGCAUAUCUCAGAACUUUGCUAUUAUUUUAUUCAACUAGAUGUUUAAUGUUCAAUUCUCUGGUACAAAAACUAGCAACACAGAACAACAGCCAUCUCCAAAAACAAUUAAAGAAAGGUAUUCACAAAGAGACCGAGCAUUACUGAACUCCCAAAUCUAUGGGGCCAAUAAUUUCUUGAUUCCUGACUUCUGCUCAGCAGUUAACCUUGUUGGGAAUUUUAUAUUGAACUUGAUUCUCAAGUUUCCCCUCUUUGAGGGAUCCUUUGGUAUAGGCAUGCCUUCGUUUGGAACAACUUCUUCAUAGUCCGGUUGAAUCACGCUGUUGAUUAGGAUGGGCAGGCUCCUACCAUCUAGAGUUGUAAG
rnacentral:misc_RNA from 1 species